rnacentral:rRNA from 1 species
GACGAACGCUGGCGGCGCGCCUAACACAUGCAAGUCGAAUGAGCGAGAGAGAGCUUGCUUUCUCAAGCGAGUGGCGAACGGGUGAGUAACGCGUGAGGAACCUGCCUCAAAGAGGGGGACAACAGUUGGAAACGACUGCUAAUACCGCAUAAGCCCACGACCCGGCAUCGGGUUGAGGGAAAAGGAGCAAUCCGCUAUGAGAUGGACCCGCGUCGCACUAGCUAGUUGGUGAGGUAACGGCUCACCAAGGCGACGAUGCGUAGCCGACCUGAGAGGGUGAUCGGCCACAUUGGGACUGAGACACGGCCCAG